rnacentral:rRNA from 1 species
AAUCAACGCUGGCGGCGUGCCUCAGACAUGCAAGUCGAACGAUUAAGACUUCCUUCGGGAAGUGCAUAAAGUGGCGCACGGGUGAGUAACACGUAAGUAAUCUACCCUCGAGUGGGGAAUAACGUUCGGAAACGAACGCUAAUACCGCAUAGCGCAGCGGCACCGCGAGGUGACAGUUGUUAAAGGAGCAAUCCGCUUGAGGAGGAGCUUGCGGCAGAUUAGCUAGUUGGUAAGGUAAUGGCUUACCAAGGCUACGAUCUGUAUCCGGUCUAAGAGGACGGUCGGACACACUGACACUGAAUAACGGCCCAAACUCCUACGGGAGGCAGCAGUGGGGAAUCUUGCGCAAUGGGCGAAAGCCUGACGCAGCCAUGCCGCGUGGAUGAUGAAGGUCUUAGGAUUGUAAAAUCCUUUCACCGGUGAAGAUAAUGACUGUAGCCGGAGAAGAAGCCCCGGCUAACUUCGUGCCAGCAGCCGCGGUAAAAC